rnacentral:rRNA from 1 species
UACGUAGGGUGCAAGCGUUAAUCGGAAUUACUGGGCGUAAAGCGUGCGCAGGCGGCUUUGCAAGACAGAUGUGAAAUCCCCGGGCUCAACCUGGGAACUGCAUUUGUGACUGCACAGCUGGAGUGCGGCAGAGGGGGAUGGAAUUCCGCGUGUAGCAGUGAAAUGCGUAGAUAUGCGGAGGAACACCGAUGGCGAAGGCAAUCCCCUGGGCCUGCACUGACGCUCAUGCACGAAAGCGUGGGGAGCAAACAGG